rnacentral:rRNA from 1 species
UACGUAGGUGACAAGCGUUGUCCGGAUUUACUGGGCGUAAAGAGCGCGCAGGCGGUCGAUCAAGUCGAGUGUGAAAGCCCCCGGCUCAACUGGGGAGGGUCAUUCGAUACUGAUCGACUCGAAGGCAGGAGAGGGUAGUGGAAUUCCCGGUGUAGUGGUGAAAUGCGUAGAUAUCGGGAGGAACACCAGUGGCGAAGGUGACUACCUGGCCUGUUCUUGACGCUGAGGCGCGAAAGCUAGGGGAGCAAACGGG